rnacentral:rRNA from 1 species
UAGAGUUUGAUCCUGGCUCAGGAUGAACGCUAGCUACAGGCUUAACACAUGCAAGUCGAGGGGCAUCAUGGAGUUUGCUUGCAAACUCUGAUGGCGACCGGCGCACGGGUGAGUAACGCGUAUCCAACCUUCCCUAUAGUAGAGGAUAGCCCGGCGAAAGUCGGAUUAAUACUCUAUGUUUUCCGUUGCAGACAUCUAAGAUGGAACAAAGGCUUGCCGCUAUAGGAUGGGGAUGCGUCUGAUUAGGUAGUCGGCGGGGUAACGGCCCACCGAGCCAUCGAUCAGUAGGGGUUCUGAGAGGAAGGUCCCCCACAUUGGAACUGAGACACGGUCCAAACUCCUACGGGAGGCAGCAGUGAGGAAUAUUGGUCAAUGGGCGAGAGCCUGAACCAGCCAAGUAGCGUGCAGGACGACGGCCCUAUGGGUUGUAAACUGCUUUUAUGCGGGGAUAAAGUUCACUACGUGUAGUGUUUUGUAGGUACCGCAUGAAUAAGGACCGGCUAAUUCCGUGCCAGCAGCCGCGGUAAUACGGAAGGUCCGGGCGUUAUCCGGAUUUAUUGGGUUUAAAGGGAGCGCAGGCCGGAGGUCAAGCGUGACGUGAAAUGUAGCCGCUCAACGGCUGAACUGCGUCGCGAACUGGCUUUCUUGAGUGAGUUCGAUGUGGGCGGAAUUCGUGGUGUAGCGGUGAAAUGCUUAGAUAUCACGAAGAACUCCGAUUGCGAAGGCAGCUGGCGGGGGCGCAACUGACGCUCGUGCUUGAAAGUGCGGGUAUCGAACAGGAUUAGAUACCCUGGUAGUCCGCACGGUAAACGAUGGAUGCCCGCUAUGCGCGCUUAGUCGUGCGUGGCCAAGCGAAAGCGUUAAGCAUCCCACCUGGGGAGUACGCCGGCAACGGUGAAACUCAAAGGAAUUGACGGGGGCCCGCACAAGCGGAGGAACAUGUGGUUUAAUUCGAUGAUACGCGAGGAACCUUACCCGGGCUUGAAUUGCAGACGAACGACCAAGAGAUUGGAAGGCCCUCCGGGGCGUCUGUGAAGGUGCUGCAUGGUUGUCGUCAGCUCGUGCCGUGAGGUGUCGGCUCAAGUGCCAUAACGAGCGCAACCCCUCUCCGUAGUUGCCAUCAGGCUAUGCUGGGCACUCUGCGGACACUGCCACCGUAAGGUGCGAGGAAGGUGGGGAUGACGUCAAAUCAGCACGGCCCUUACGUCCGGGGCUACACACGUGUUACAAUGGCCGGUACAGAGCGCCGCGCGCCCGCAAGGUCGCGCCAAUCGCGAAACCCGGCCUCAGUUCGGACUGGGGUCUGCAACCCGACCCCACGAAGCUGGAUUCGCUAGUAAUCGCGCAUCAGCCAUGGCGCGGUGAAUACAAAGCCGGGCCUUGCACUCACCGCCCGUCA